AGAAAGGCUGACGGCUAAUGCCCGGUCGGACUGACGUUACUCAGAGAAGAAGCACCGGCUAACUCCGUGCCAGCAGCCGCGGUAAUGCGAAGGGUGCAAGCGUUACUCGGAAUUACUGGGCGUAAAGCGUGCGUAGGUGGUUGUUUAAGUCUGUUGUGAAAGCCCUGGGCUCAACCUGGGAAUUGCAUUGGAUACUGGGCGACUAGAGUGUGGUAGAGGGUAGUGGAAUUCCCGGUGUAGCAGUGAAAUGCGUAGAGAUCGGGAGGAACAUCCAUGGCGAAGGCAGCUACCUGGACCAACACUGACACUGAGGCACGAAAGCGUGGGGAGCAAACAGGAUUAGAUACCCUGGUAGUCCACGCCCUAAACGAUGCGAACUGGAUGUUGGGUGCAAUUUGGCACGCAUUAUCGAAGCUAACGCGUUAAGUUCGCCGCCUGGGGAGUACGGUCGCAAGACUGAAACUCAAAUGAAUUGAC
rnacentral:rRNA from 1 species